UUAUGAUUUUUCUUGUGUUAUUAAUUGAUUAUAUAUUUUUUUUAAUAAAAAGAUAUUUUUUAUUUAUUAAAGUAGGACUUACAUUGUACCCAAAAUAAAAGUAGGACUUAUAUUAUUUAUUUUCUUAAGAUAUGUUAAUAAUAACAUUGUUAUCCUUGAUUUCAAGGUUAAACGGUUGACGAUCGAGAAGGUGAUGGAAAUGUAUUUAAGGAAAUGGUGGAUUUAGUCUCUCUGGAAUUGAACAACACCAUCCAUUUUGCAAAAAUGAAUGAUUCACAAUUUCCUAGUGGUAUUCAACCAAACUGCUCCUACACAUGUAGGCUUCUUCUAUUUUCUUUACACUCAUAUAUUUCAUAAUCCACUCAAAGUUUACCAAAUACGUACAAUUUUAUCUGCACACAAUAUAGUCCAAUGGUUUGGGUAUCUAUGCAGGAAGUUUGGGAUUCAAUCAAUGGAGUUAAUAUUUUCUCUAUUCUCCUAAAUAAUUAUUCCCUCCGGUCACAUUUAUAAGCAAAAAAUAAUUUUUUAGGUUCAUUGAAUAACUAAUGUAUCCGAUCAUAAUUAUAGGUCAGAUACAUUAAUUAUACUUAAAAAGUUGUUUUUUGCUUAUAAAUAUGACCGAAGGGAGUAAUUAAUAACAUUUACCUAAAAAAAUAUCACGUAAAAAAAUUUAGAAAAUAAAUACAAAUUUUACACAUGAUUAACUUUGAUUUAUUCUAGGUUCACAAUAUAUUUUAUCACGCCAAAAGCCACUAACAAAAUGCAAGAUCUAUGAUUUUACACUAGCAAAAACCCACUAAAAAUGCAGUGAACCUUCUUAUUAGUAUUAUUUUUUAUUUUAUUUUUUUUUUACAAUGGAAGGGUCGACUUGACGAACUAACCUUAUAAUAUCACAAAAAUUAUGUCAAUCAUAUGUCUUGAUAGCCAUACAACACUCACCAAUAUGAUGAGCAUAACAUACUCCAUUCGACUCUAUUUAUAGGAGACAUUUGGGUCAAGAAAAGUUGAUGUAUCUGGUCUAAUGUUUUAACCAGAUACAUUAACUUUUGUUGACCUAAAUUUUUUUUUAUAAAUAGAAUUGGAUGAAGUAUUUACCAACUUGACGAUAUUUGAUAUUAGUAUUAUUUGUUAGUUUGGUUAAUAUGUCGAUAUUAUGUCUUUGCUACUUCAACAUUUCACACUUCAUGCCCAUUAUGUAAAGUUUCUCUAUUGAUUUGAUUAUUGUUAGAGCAUAUGUAAAGUUUCUCUAUUGAUUUGGUUAAUAUAGCUAGCAAAAAAGUUAAAGCAUAUGUUUGUAUGUAUAGAAAACCAUCAAUCUAGAUCACAUAUAAAGCUCUUAAAUAAAACCAUAGUUUCACCACCUUUAUGAUAAAUAUAAAACUUUAGAUAAACAUAAAAAAUAAUCACAUUGAUAUGAUAUUAACUAAAGUAUUCUCAAUAAAGUAUCAUCUUUAUAGUAUUAGCUUUUUGUAUAAUGGGCAUGAAGUAAGCGAUGUUGUAGAAGCAAAGACAUAAUGUCGACAUAUUAUAACCUUACCUAAUGAACUAAAUAUAAUAUAAUAUAAUAUAAUAUGAGAGAUCAUUAUAUGGACCGACCCUACGAAAAUUUACUAAAACCCUUACUUUAGACCUUCGUUUUACCUUCAUAAUCUCUCUAUAUAUUUAACCAUCAAAUUUUAUGACCUUACUUACAUUUUGAUAUCUAUCUAAAAUUGCACAUUAGUCUCAUUUUCAUAAUUUUUAUCAACAAUUCUACAAUUUUAUCUUCAUUCUUAUACUUAGUCAAAGGUGUAUAUAUAUGUGGCCUAUGCCCCUCUUUACCUCUCGUACCAUGAUUUUCCCACUAGUUAAAUAAUUUGGUCUCAAUUUUUAUAGUUAACAAAAAAUUGUACAUUUGUCAAAAAAAAAAAAAAAUUGUACAUGUGAGGUCCCCACUUGAUUUGCUCCCAUUAGUUUUAUGUUUUAUGACCUCACUCUCCCUUUGAUACCUAACAAAAAUUACACAUAGGAGGCCUCUUCUCAUGAGUUGUUCAAUCUUAUAUCACACUUAGUUUUAGGUCUCAUCUUACCUUGACGCAAUCAUAAAAUUAUACCUAAUAAAAUUAUUUCACGAAAUAUUGGUUAAACAUGAUUGGCGUAUUUACAAAAAAAAUGUACACUAUCAAUAUGUAAUUAUUACACUCGUAUAUGUGUAAGAUUUAACUGGCAAACAUUGUCGUAAAAAGAACUUGUAUUUGUCAACAAAUCAUAAAUCAUCUUAUGCGUGAUAUUCAUGAUAGUUGAGAUUAAACUCAACGUUUUUAUUGAUGUGUCAAUUUAUGAUCGGUUGAUAAUGUAUAAAUUCUUUACAACGAUAGUGUAUCGAAGAUAUACUCAUAUCAUCACAUGUAUACGUGUUUGUAUGUGUGUUUUGCAAGUAAUCAAGUACAAAAAAAAAAACCAAUUCUCUCAAAAAAAAAAAGUUAUAAAAACUCCCAAUUAUAUAUAAAUAUAGUUAUUAUUAUAAAAUAGGCGAGAAAGCUAUUAUGUUCUAUUUCUCUCACCUUUUUGUAGGUUUUUUGACGUGAUUACAAUAUAAUAAAACAAUGCAAUGCAAGUACACUCGUUCAAAUUAGUCAAGUUAGAUCAUCUCAAAGAUAUUUGGGCAAAGCCUGAUUCUCAAGGCGAAUUGUGAGUGAAGUAGGGAAAGCAAGUACAAACAAAGAAUCCAUGGAAAAUACUUAAGAGUAUUUUGCUAGGCGAGCAACGGUUGGCUCAGCUAACUAAGGUGGUUUCAGAAAAUGACAUAGGACGGCUGACUUUUCCCUCUAUUGAGCAAAGCUUGAUUUACUAGGCGAGCAUCACUUUCGUCCAACGAAUGUACACUUGUAGAAACAUUAUAAAUAGGAGUGUGAUUAAUUUUUUUUUAUCAA